GCGCUUGCUUUGGCAGCACAUAUACUAAAAUUGGAAUGAUACAGAGAAGAGUAACAUGGUCCCUGUGCAAGGAUUACAUGCAAAUUGGUGAAGCAUUCCAUAUAAAA